UAACACACAUUUUUACUGGGGAAGGGAAGCCGCGGGGAACCAAAUUUGGUUAUCGAGCAGCGACACCCAAGAUUCGUCAUCUAAUUUAAUUUGGAAACUCGGAAGUUAUGUUUUAAGAAUAAAAUGUACCGGUACAGGUUUGAAAAUCCCAUCCCAUCGGAUAACUCGUAGGGUAUUCCCUGAUUAAUCGGGUAAGUAAAGGUCUGAAAUGCUGAUACGUGUUGUAUAUAUUGUCUAGAAAUAGCCUGAUUGCGAACACUAUAAACACUAAUAAGUAGUUUAUAUAUAACCAUAGUUUAAAUAGGCGCAAACAUGCAAAUGGCAAUGAAUUAUAAAUAGGCCAUGUUACAGGAUGAAAAGGACGCGGGAAAUCAGUGGUGGUUAUCGAGCAGCGGCACCUAUAAAAUAACUCUGGACACUAUAUUAUAAAGAAGAAAAAGUCAAAUACAGUGUAAAUAAAUUGGAAAAUAAAAUGCAUACAAUAUCUCGAGGCAAUCUGCUAUAAUCAACAGUCGCUCACUUCAACAAAACACGACUCUGAACACCACUAACUUGGUAACCAUGGAGAUGGUAUUAAUGGACUGUGUCACAACAAUACUAUUGCUGUAUUGUGAUGCGCAUUGUCUAACAGUCGCCAAUUAACGUCAGAUUCCGAAGGCGUAACACUGGCUUUCAAUUAGACGCGGUGGAUAUUGAGAGCAAAGAAAACAGGUGAGGGUAUGAAAACAGUAAUACAACAACUUAGGAGAUAAAUUGUUUCAAACAAUUGGAAGUGGUGUCAUAAAAGCAGCCACAAUAAAGAUCUUGGUCGGGUUGUUACAAACAUUCGAAGUUGACAUGAUUUUGGAGAUUCAGUGAAGAUUUGGAACUACAGAGAAGACCGGUGUCAUCUGCAAAUAAUUUGGUCAUCAAAUCAGAGCAAUGAGAGAUGUCGUUUAUAAA